UUGUGUGUUCAAGUUUUUAAGGGCAUACGGUGGAUGCCUUGGCAUCAGGAGCCGAUGAAGGACGUGGGAGCCUGCGAU
rnacentral:rRNA from 1 species